AUUGAACGCUGGCGGCAGGCCUAACACAUGCAAGUCGAGCGGAUGAAGGGAGCUUGCUCCUGGAUUCAGCGGCGGACGGGUGAGUAAUGCCUAGGAAUCUGCCUGGUAGUGGGGGAUAACGUCCGGAAACGGGCGCUAAUACCGCAUACGUCCUUAGGGAGAAAGUGGGGGAUCUUCGGACCUCACGCUAUCAGAUGAGCCUAGGUCGGAUUAGCUAGUUGGUGGGGUAAAGGCCUACCAAGGCGACUAUCCGUAACUGGUCUGAGAGGAUGAUCAGUCACACUGGAACUGAGACACGGUCCAGACUCCUACGGGAGGCAGCAGUGGGGAAUAUUGGACAAUGGGCGAAAGCCUGAUCCAGCCAUGCCGCGUGUGUGAAGAAGGUCUUCGGAUUGUAAAGCACUUUAAGUUGGGAGGAAGGGCAGUAAGUUAAUACCUUGCUGUUUUGACGUUACCAACAGAAUAAGCACCGGCUAACUUCGUG
rnacentral:rRNA from 1 species